CAAUAGCGUAUAUAGAAGUUGUUGCGGUUAAAAAGCUCGUAGUCGAAUAACUCACGUGUGACCCUUUCACUGACACAUCUGUGUUAGCGUCUGAAGUCGCGCGUUUCGGGUAACUGCAAGUAGGAAUAUACGUCUGCACUUCACUGUGUGGUCUUUCCUCUGCUCUUCCCGAACGUUACUUUGAGGAAAUUAGUGUGUUCAAAGCGGGCAUCCGCCACGAAUAUAUUAGCAUGGAAUGACAAUCUAGAUUCUAUCUAUCUAGAAUCUAUUUUGUUGGUUUCGCGAUGCACAUAAAUGCUUAAUAGGGACAAUUGGGGGCAUUCGUACUUAACCGUCAGAGGUGAAAUUCUUGGAUUGGUUAAUGACGAACUACUGCGAAAGCAUUUGCCAAAGAUGUUUUCAUUGA
rnacentral:rRNA from 1 species